CCAAUAGCGUAUAUUAAAGUUGUUGCAGUUAAAAAGCUCGUAGUUGAAUUUUGGAUUCUUCCAAUUGGUCCAUCUUUUAGAUGAGUACUGGUUGUGUGGGGUCUAUCCGCCUGGUGAUACGUAAUGUCCUUUAUUGGAUGUUGCGGGUAGUCAGGACCUUUACCUUGAAAAAAUUAGAGUGUUUAAAGCAGGCUUAUGCCGGAAUACAUUAGCAUGGAAUAAUAGAAUAGGACGAAGUUGUUUUAUUUUGUUGGUUUCUAGGACAACCGUAAUGAUUAAUAGGGAUAGUUGGGGGCAUUAGUAUUUAAUUGUCAGAGGUGAAAUUCUUGGAUUUAUUGAAGACUAACUACUGCGAAAGCAUUUGCCAAGGAUGUUUUCAUUAAUCAAGAACGAAAGUUAGGGGAUCGAAGACGAUCAGAUACCGUCGUAGUCUUAACCAUAAACUAUGCCGACUAGGGAUCGGGCGAUGUUGUUUCCAUGACUCGCUCGGCACCUUAUG
rnacentral:rRNA from 1 species